rnacentral:lncRNA from 1 species
UAUGUUUUUGUUCAGCUGUGAUGGUGCAAAAAUAGAACUGUUUACAAAAUGUGCAUCGCCUUCGCAGAUGGUUUGGACAAAAACUUGUUAUAACAUGGAAAAGAUACGUUUAUUCGCAGCAUUGCAUUGUGUGUAGCUAGGACAUGGUGUUAUACUGUUCACAUGUUAUACUGUUUUGUUAUUUCAGCUUCUUUGGGUUUGGAUUCUACACAUUGUGAAAAAGACAUAACCAGCGAAAGCUCUGGCCAGUUUCUUUUCCCAAGCCGUAAAGGAGCAGGUUCAUGUCUCCAUGCAGUCAUAGAUGUCCUCUCUGAGACCCACAACAGUCUUGUGCGGGAAGCCAGAAAACUCUGUCAGCAGACAGACAGUGACUAUAAAGUGCCAUUGGCUGUUCUGUCUAAGAGCCAGCUUGCCCUGUGCCACCCAGAGAGAGAGUUUCUCCCUCUGGUGUUAGCAAACUGCCAUUACACAUUAGAGAAGGGUCAGCAGACAGUGAGCUCUUAUGAUCAUCAGGGUAUCGAGAGAGAGCUCAGCAGACGAUUCUUUGCAGGCAAACCACGGAUUCAAACAGUGAGUCAUUAUUAUAUAACAACCUUAUCCUCAUACGUAUGUCUUAUAUAUGACCAGAUAUAUUUGUUAAUUAAAAUUGAAAACUCAUGAUUAAACAUGUCAUGCAGGACACAGAAAAAUAUCUGAGAAGACACCAUCAGAAUUUUACAGAAGUCCUCAACGAGGUCAGAGCCAAAAUACCCCAGGUAAUUAUGUUUUAGAGUUUCUUUGUUGAUGGUGGCAUAUUUAAAGGCAUAUUAUAAAAUUUAAAAAAAA